AUGGAGAGUUUUCAUGACUACAAGAUGGUGAAUAACCGUUCUGUGGUUGAACAAGCUCAUGAGAUACAGUGCAUUGUGAAGGAACUUGAACUCCUUAAAUGUGUUCUACCCGACAAAUUCGUGGUUGGGUGCAUGAUUGCAAAGUUGCCUCCUUCAUGGAGGAAUUUCGCCACAACUCUGAAGCAUAAGAGACAGGAGAUAUCAGUUGAAAAUCUGAUUGCAUCUCUUGAUGUUGAAGAAAAAGCUCGGGCUAAAGAUACCACUGAAAAAGGAGAUGAGGUUCAGCCUACUGCUAACAUGGUGCAGAGGUACCCACAGAACAAGAACAAAGGGAAGAACAAACCUGUUUCCAACAAGUCGCAAGGGAUUCUUCCGUCCUAA
rnacentral:rRNA from 1 species